CCAACUGAAGAUUGAACCAAGGAAUAGACACAGCCCUGUUGCAUGUUCAACGAAAGACACCUUCAUGACGGAACUCUUGAACAGAGUUGAUAAGAAAGCAGCUCCACAGACAGAAAGUGGAUCAAGUAAUGCUUCCUGCAGGAAUGUGUUAAAGGGCAGUUCUCAGGGCUCCUGUCUCAUCGGCAGCUCUAUCAGUACUCAAGGAAACCACAAGAAAAACAUGAAAAUCAAAGCCGAUAUGGAAGUACCAAAAGACUCCCUGAAUCCAACUGCCAGAUGAGAACAUUGGACAGUGGGAUCGGAACCUUCCCACUCCCAGACUCGGGAAAUCGCUCGACAGGACGCUACCUAUGCCAACCAGACUC
rnacentral:sRNA from 1 species